GGGGGCGCAGCUGGGGCACCCGCGGCGCCUCCUCUCCGCUCCCUCGCCCCCUCGGGGUCGCUCCCCUUCGCGGCGUGGAGGGCGGCGGGCGCGGCGCGGCCAUGGCCGAGGAGCCCAGCGCGCUGCCCUGGUCCAUCAAUAAAGAUGACUACGAGCUGCAGGAGGUCAUCGGGAGUGGAGCGACUGCGGUGGUGCAGGCGGCCUUCUGCACUCCGAAGAAGGAGAGGGUGGCAAUUAAACGGAUCAAUCUUGAGAAGUGUCAGACGAGCAUGGAUGAACUCCUGAAAGAAAUUCAAGCCAUGAGUCAGUGCCAUCACCCCAACAUUGUAUCUUACUACACAUCGUUCGUGGUGAAAGAUGAGCUUUGGCUGGUGAUGAAGUUACUUAGUGGAGGCUCUGUUUUGGAUAUUAUCAAGCACAUCGUGGCCAAAGGAGAACACAAGACUGGUGUCCUGGAUGAACCCUGUAUAGCCACAAUCCUUAAGGAGGUGCUGGAGGGGCUGGACUACCUUCAUAAAAACGGGCAAAUCCACAGGGACGUGAAAGCAGGAAAUAUUCUUCUUGGAGAAGAUGGCUCAGUGCAAAUCGCAGACUUUGGCGUGAGCGCGUUCCUGGCCACUGGUGGUGACAUUACCAGGAAUAAAGUCAGGAAAACUUUUGUGGGCACACCUUGCUGGAUGGCACCAGAAGUUAUGGAGCAGGUCAGAGGAUACGAUUUCAAGGCAGACAUCUGGAGCUUUGGGAUCACUGCUAUCGAACUGGCUACAGGGGCAGCUCCUUACCACAAAUACCCCCCGAUGAAGGUUUUAAUGCUGACACUACAAAAUGAUCCCCCAUCUUUGGAAACUGGUGUGCAAGAUAAGGAGAUGCUGAAGAAGUAUGGGAAAUCAUUUAGGAAGAUGAUUUCAUCAUGCCUACAAAAAGACCCUGAAAAAAGACCCACAGCAGCAGAACUCUUAAGGCACAAAUUUUUCACGAAAGCAAAGAAUAAAGAAUUUUUGCAAGAGAAGAUGUUGCAGAGAGCACCAACAAUCACUGAAAGAUCCAAAAAGGUCCGGAGGGUCCCAGGCUCCAGUGGGCGUCUUCAUAAGACUGAAGAUGGUGGCUGGGAAUGGAGUGAUGAUGAACUAGAUGAAGAAAGUGAGGAAGGCAGAGCAGCAAUUUCACAGCUCAGGUCUCCCAGAGUGAAAGAACCUGUACAGAAUUCCGAGGUUUUGUUCUCUGAAGGGAAAGACAAGUUAAAGCAGGGUUGCUCUGCUGUGACAGCAUGGCUGCUUGGAACUCUCUUUCCAUCAGCUGAGCCUCCAGGUCCUUCACUCCCUGCUCCAGCACAGGCACCUACUCAACUACCUCAGGCUGCAGGACAAGCACCUGCACAACCUCAAACUGCUGUACCUCCACCUAGUCAGGCUCCUCCAGCAGCCCCAGCAGCAGCCCCAGCAGCAGCUCCAGCAGCAGCCCAGGCCCCACCUGCAGCUGCUGCAGCUCCGGUACAGGAAGACACGAAAGUCCCCAUCAGCCUUGUACUAAGGUUAAGGAAUUCAAAAAAAGAGCUCAAUGACAUUCGAUUUGAAUUCACCCCAGGGAGAGAUACUGCGGACGGCGUGUCCCAGGAGCUCAUUUCAGCAGGGCUUGUUGAUGGCAGAGAUCUGGUAAUAGUUGCAGCUAAUUUGCAGAAAAUUGUGGAAGAGCCCCAAGCAAACAGAUCCGUCACUUUCAAACUGGCGUCUGGCGUCGAGGGCUCGGAUAUCCCGGAUGAUGGCAAACUUAUAGGAUUUGCACAGCUCAGCAUCAGCUAAACAAUGGUCCCAGGAGAUGUUUCCCAACGGAGAACCCACAUGUGCAUAUUCGUAAUGCUUCUGUUAGCCUAAAAAAAAAAACCACUACUGCCAAAGAAUUGAACUACAGCCCCCUUCCUAGAAGCUUUAACAUUUUCCUUAAUAGGAUCACAAACCUUCCUGAAAUUACCGAUGACGUUUACACCUUUUGUAAACAACUCUCAUGUUUUUGUAUCUGUCAUCUCAAACAUGCAGACCCAACACGUCAUUGCCUGCAUGUUCAUUUUAUUAUUGCCUUACUUUAAAGAAAAAUACUACUGAGUACGAAGCAGGGGGUUCCACUGCUCUGAUGAUCUUGCCUAAAUGUUUGCUUACAUGUGGUUUCAUUUUUUUUUUCCACUUGCUAUUUUUGCACAAGUUUUAAUACUGAACGGAUCUUUUUUUUUUUUUUGUUCUUUACCUGCUUCUCCUUCUAUCUGAAACACCAAUGUACAUGUUGUUUGGGUCACCUGGAGUGCUGAGAAAUCUGCUUCUCUUUGGCUGUGUGUUCUAAAACUGCUGGUUUGAAUGCUUGCACCUGAGAAAGCAAGCUGAGUCUUAACCCACAGGAGGGAGAACCGCCUUCCCUUGUGUUUGUGUUUUUGAGAAGUUCCUUGACUUUUGAGGUGUUAGAAGUCAGCUUCCCUUUGUAAACUGCCUUAAUUUUUUUUUUUUUUUUUUUUUUUUUUACCAUUUUGGUUCUCUCCACAUGAGUGCCAGGUGUGGCAUGAGGGCUGAACCUUUUAAUUUGCAUUAAGCAGUCCUUCCUCAAAACUUCUUUCAUCCUGCAUCUUAGAUGUAGUCUACUCUCGAAGCAGGCCAGGGAGGCAUUGCUGCCUGGAAACUGGCCUUUCAGAUGAUGAACACACAAUACCCGUGGGUCAGAGAGAGAGGAGACCUGUGUCACCCCGCGUUUGGAAAACAUGCACUUCAGACUGUUCCUCCAGCCCAGUUCCGCCAUGCCUGGCUGCGCAGCGAGUCCUCCCGAGGUGUUUUCCCAGUCCUACGCCAAGUGGUACCCGUGGAACCGUCCCUGUCGUGUUUCACAGCAAUAAAGAAUCGCCAGCAGAGUGGUUGUACUGGGCAAGCGGGCGCCGGGCUGUGCCCUCCUGCACUGACGGCCUGGGCCGGCACCUCCUCGUUUGAUCAGGAUGUCACUGAAACCCCGUCACACACGUAUUUAGCUUUUCUUUCUAUGUGGUGUUGGAGUUGAGUUUCUACAUGAAUAAUAUAAAUUAUGCUCUGAGUUUGAUAAGAGACACUUGUAAUGCAAUAUGUGAAUAAUAAAUGGUGUUGACUCUUUUUUUUUUUCUUU